GGUUGUAGCUCAGUGGUACAGCACUUGCCUAGCAUGUGUGAGGCCCUGGGUUCGAUCCUCAGCACCA
rnacentral:tRNA from 1 species